rnacentral:rRNA from 1 species
AGUGAACGCUGGCGGUAGGCCUAACACAUGCAAGUCGAACGGCAGCACAGUAAGAGCUUGCUCUUACGGGUGGCGAGUGGCGGACGGGUGAGGAAUACAUCGGAAUCUACUUUUUCGUGGGGGAUAACGUAGGGAAACUUACGCUAAUACCGCAUACGACCUACGGGUGAAAGCAGGGGAUCUUCGGACCUUGCGCGAUUGAAUGAGCCGAUGUCGGAUUAGCUAGUUGGCGGGGUAAAGGCCCACCAAGGCGACGAUCCGUAGCUGGUCUGAGAGGAUGAUCAGCCACACUGGAACUGAGACACGGUCCAGACUCCUACGAGAGGCAGCAGUGGGGAAUAUUAGACAAUGGGCGCAAGCCUGAUCCAGCCAUACCGCGUGGGUGAAGACGGCCUUCGGGUUGUAAAGCCCUUUUGUUGGGAAAGAAAAGCAGCAGGUUAAUACCCCGCUGUUCUGACGGUACCCAAAGAAUAAGCACCGGCUAACUUCGUG